rnacentral:rRNA from 1 species
UGGGGAAUCUUGCGCAAUGGGCGAAAGCCUGACGCAGCGACGCCGCGUGAGCGAUGAAGGCCUUCGGGUUGUAAAGCUCUGUGGGGAGGGAAGAAUAAGGUUUGGCUAAUAUCCAAGCCGAUGACGGUACCUCCUUAGCAAGCACCGGCUAACUCUGUGCCAGCAGCCGCGGUAAGACAGAGGGUGCAAACGUUGUUCGGAAUUACUGGGCGUAAAGCGCAUGUAGGCGGCCAUCUAAGUCGGGCGUGAAAUCCCACGGCUCAACCGUGGAAGUGCACUCGAAACUGGAUGGCUAGAGUCCUGGAGAGGAAGGUGGAAUGCUUGGUGUAGAGGUGAAAUUCGUAGAUAUCAAGCGGAACACCGGUGGCGAAGGCGGCCUUCUGGACAGUGACUGACGCUGAGACGCGAAAGCGUGGGGAGCAAAC